AUGAACGCUAGCGACAGGCUUAACACAUGCAAGUCGAGGGGUAACAGGGUAGCAAUACCGCUGACGACCGGCGCACGGGUGAGUAACGCGUAUGCAACCUGCCUAGUAACUGGGGGAAUAGCUCCCUGAAAGGGGAAUUAACACCGCAUAACACUAUUGAUUCGCAUGGAUUGGUAGUUAAAUGUAGCGAUACAGGUUAUAGAUGGGCAUGCGUGACAUUAGCUAGUUGGUGAGGUAACGGCUCACCAAGGCUACGAUGUCUAGGGGUUCUGAGAGGAAGGUCCCCCCACACUGGUACUGAGACACGGACCAGACUCCUACGGGAGGCAGCAGUGAGGAAUAUUGGUCAAUGGGCGCAAGCCUGAACCAGCCAUGUCGCGUGCAGGAAGACUGCCCUAUGGGUUGUAAACUGCUUUUAUAGUAGAAGAAACACAUCUACGUGUAGAUGUCUGCCAGUAUACUAUGAAUAAGCAUCGGCUAACUCCGUGCCAGCAGCCGC
rnacentral:rRNA from 1 species